GACGAACGCUGGCGGCGUGCCUAACACAUGCAAGUCGAGCGGGGGGAGUACUUCGGUACAAACCUAGCGGCGGACGGGUGAGUAACACGUGGGUAACCUGCCUCAAAGUGGGGGAUAGCCUUCCGAAAGGAAGAUUAAUACCGCAUAACCCAUAGCUUCCGCAUGGAAGCAAUGGUAAAGAUGUAUCGCUUUGAGAUGGACCCGCGGCGCAUUAGCUAGUUGGUGAGGUAACGGCUCACCAAGGCCACGAUGCGUAGCCGACCUGAGAGGGUGAUCGGCCACAUUGGAACUGAGACACGGUCCAGACUCCUACGGGAGGCAGCAGUGGGGAAUAUUGCACAAUGGGCGAAAGCCUGAUGCAGCAACGCCGCGUGAGUGAUGAAGGCCUUCGGGUUGUAAAGCUCUGUCUUUUGGGACGAUAAUGACGGUACCAAAGGAGGAAGCCACGGCUAACUACGUGCCUGCCGCCGCAGUAAUAC
rnacentral:rRNA from 1 species